rfam:Triticum aestivum genome assembly, contig: Triticum_aestivum_CS42_TGACv1_scaffold_569117_7AS
AUAAUACUUCCUCCGUCACAAAUUUUUUGUCUUAGAUUCGUCUAGAUACGGAUGUAUCUAAUACUAAAACAUGACUUGAUACAUCCGUAUUUAGACAAAUUUAAGACAAGAAUUUUGGGACGAAGACAGUAAUUU